rnacentral:rRNA from 1 species
GACGAACGCUGGCGGCGUGCCUAAUACAUGCAAGUCGAGCGAAUCAAUAGGAGCUUGCUCCUGUUGGUUAGCGGCGGACGGGUGAGUAACACGUGGGCAACCUGCCUGUAAGACUGGGAUAACACCGGGAAACCGGUGCUAAUACCGGAUAAUCCUUUUCCUCUCAUGAGGAAAAGCUGAAAGUCGGUUUCGGCUGACACUUACAGAUGGGCCCGCGGCGCAUUAGCUAGUUGGUGAGGUAACGGCUCACCAAGGCGACGAUGCGUAGCCGACCUGAGAGGGUGAUCGGCCACCCUGGGACUGAGCCACGGCCCAGACUCCUACGGGAGGCAGCAGUAGGGAAUCUUCCACAAUGGACGAAAGUCUGAUGGAGCAACGCCGCGUGAGCGAUGAAGGCCUUCGGGUCGUAAAGCUCUGUUGUUAGGGAAGAACAAGUACCGGAGUAACUGCCGGUACCUUGACGGUACCUAACCAGAAAGCCACGGCUAACUACGUGCCAGCCGCCGCCGUAACAC